AAGUCGUAACAAGGUUUCCGUAGGUGAACCUGCGGAAGGAUCAUUAACACGUAUCCAAACGUUAAAACCCCCCCCGUGAACCUUCAUCCUGCUCUUGUAACCCGCGUAGUUCGCAAUCUCUGAUAAAUCAUAGCCCGGAAAGUUGUAGUGAUUCAGAGACCCCUGGCUACGUAGCAGUCAGUGUCGGAAAGUGUCAUUGAUUGUGCAAGGAUAGCGCUUCUACGAUUCCUGUAGACCGUACACACGGGCAGGAGCUUUGCCAAAGGGUCCCCAUGCCCCCUAAUAACCCCACAGUUUAAUGUGAAGCUCAAUGUAAUACAUUGGGUAAAAAAACCGAACAACUGUUGACAAUGGAUAUCUUGGUUCUC
rnacentral:misc_RNA from 1 species